CGAUAGGACUUGGAGCAAUAAUGGUGGUUUGGAGUCCAAGGAGACAUCUCCAAUUCCUUUGUUUUGUCCGUUCAACAGCCCAAAAUCCCAACGUGAGUCGAUAAAGGGGAGACUUCUUCUCCUCUCAGGGUUCAUGGUGUCGUUGGGCAUUUGGACGGUGCUGACCGUGAUGCCGCCGUACAAACAGAUCAGUGUGUGUAAGAAGCCUGUGAGUCCAUGCUGCUCUCCCUUCUCCUUUAUCCUCUCCUCCUCUAGUCUCACCCUUCUCACCCUCUCGCUUUAAUCAGCUCUCGCUCUGUCCAGUGCUGCUGUAGUAAGCUACGGCAUUAUACAGUCUGUGCAUGUGUAUGAAUGUGUGUGUGUGUGUUGUGGAGAUCUGUCUGUCCCUUCAUUUGUCCAGUUGUUACUCAUCAUGCCUGCGUUAUUCAUCUUCACCCAUACAGUCUUAAACACCAAUGUACCAAUGCACCAAAGUGUGCUUUCAACAAGACAUUUAUAAGAAGCUGUGAUGGUUUACUGCCCAUAUCAAGUUUGCUGACAUUUGCACCACGCUGGAGCUCGAGAUGCUCAGUGUGUAGAUCAGGUAUGUUUCUCAUCGGGAGGCUCCGUCUUAAGGAGUUUGUCCAUCUGUUGACCACAGACGUCCGGUGUGACACAGAGACGCUACGACCACUGCUCAAAUGUCUCUCUCUGACACUUAAUUUCUUCCCCUUUUCUCUCCUUUUUAAUCUAUUGCUUCACUUCAACAUCUCUGUCUCUCCCUCUGCUUCAUGUCACUUUCCUCUUUGUCAGACUCACACACGCACAUACAAACACACGUAGUCUCCUCCGGCUAAGCGGUGACACACCGUGUAUACAGAGUGGAUGUGUGUGUGUUUUGGUGCACACUUGAUUUUGUGCAUUGAUGUGCAUCUAAGUAAGUGAUUUGGUAUAUUAAUCAUUCAAGUCUUUUAUCAAACAGAAAUGUCAAUUAAUCGCUGGCUUCACAUUCUCACAUGUUGACGCUUUGUUACUCCUCUACACCUUCAAUCAUUGCAAAUUUAAAGGCGUCGCUUUGGCAAAUUUAAUGAAUAUUUUUCACAAUUGCGACAGUGUAUCUUGAAAUACAUUAAAUAGGCUCUGAACAUGAGAUAACUGCCCCGGUCAGUAUAAAAGAAAACUCCUGGUUAACUUGCAGUGAGCAUUUAUUUCAGUGCUUUUCUGUCAUUUUAACAUAUAACAAAUCUCUAAUGUCACCUUAGAGUCGUGGAACCUUACUGGUCACAAUAGUAAUCAACUUGAAACUGAGACUUGUGAUAAUUUGACACUUUAUGCUUUAGUAUCUUUAUAAGCGGUUGCAUGUUUGUUUACGUGCUGUAAGUAAAGAUGCUUGGGCGAGCUUCUUAUUAGCCAGGAAGUGAUCUCACACUCGCAGUGCUCCUCUGGCGUUCAUGCUGUCACUUUCUUCUUCUUCUUCUUCUUCUCUUCUUCUUCUUCUUCUUCUUCUUCUUCUUCUUCUUCUUCUUCUUCUUCUUCUUCUUCUUCUUCUUCUUCUUCUUCAAAGAUCUCCUUUUCUCCUCACACAGCACUAAUGACACAGUGUGGCUUCAAACCCUCCAUUCUGGCUCUAUUUAUAAAACGGCUAGUUGCCGUGGCACUGACUCACUGUCAGCAAGCGGCAUUGAAACUGACUUCGCCACACACACACACACACACACACACACACACACGUAAAAAACCCUAAUACGAGUACAUAGACAAACACAGACACCAAAGGAUCACAGAGUUGUGGGAAGGCCUUAACCUCUUCGCAGCCAGCGUUGCUGUGGAGACGGGGAUUCAGGAAGCUGGGCUUUGCCAGCGGUCUAGCUGGGGGCCAGCUGCAGGCGGAGGAGGAUGUUUUUGGCAACACUAGCCCUGAUGGAAAACCCAGCCGCUGUGUCGGACUCAUUGCAUCGUGUAUAGAAACAUUCCCACUCUGUGACGCCGCUUGGUCGCUCCACAGUUUAAUCUGCUGCAGCCCUGGUGGGGGGAGGGGGGGGGGCCUGCUCAUUGCAGCCAGCAGAACUUAGUAACCCUGUGAAGUGCUCACACUUUAAACUGGUUGUUGAGUUUCUCAUGGACCAGAGGGACUGUUCUUCUGUCAGUGGGUUGGGGUAGGGUAGAGUUGAGUUAGGUUGGGUUAAGGUUGGGGUAGGGUUGGGUUGGGUUAGGGUUGGGUUGGGUUAGGGUUGGGUUGGGUGGGUAGGGUUAGGUUUGGGGUUGUUAGACCCGGACCACUGGUGGAUUUACUUCCAUUUCAAAAGUUUACAUCCAUUUUACAGAAACAAAUAUUGUUUGCUUAAGAGCUGUUUUCACUUUAAAGUAACGAUUAGAAGCACAUUUGAUUUCUUUUUGAUUGUGACUUAACUUAUAAUGAAGUAUUUCAAAUGUUUAAUCAGUGUCACUGGUUACACAACAUACAAUCAGUUCUGACAAUGUGCUGUAGAUUAAACUCUCCAUGAGUACUUGAAGUAGUUCAGAUGAACUUCACCUAACAUGAUGUACAGUAUAGUCAUAUAGAUCUUUAACUUAACUGUAGGUAUAUUUUGUAUUUCUGUAAACUACUUAAAAUUUCUCCUGGUAUUGUCUUUAGCAAAGAAAUUAGCACACCACUGAAUACACAGUGAAGAUGGAUAUAUAGGAAUAUUCAGGAUGAGCUGGUUGUCAAACUCAUUACUCCAGAAGUCCACAGCGACGCUCACCAACCCGAGACUCCCUGUGGAGCAGUGAUGGCCAAUUCAUUCUCUCAGGACAGGUAUUGAUUUUGUGAUGGACAGAUCAGAGCAUCAGGUCCCUAGAGUGCCACACGCGCACGCACACACACACACACACACACACACACAGACCAAAAUGCAUUCACUAGCCUUUACACUGGCAAAAAGCAAAUUCUAAACUCAACCGUGAAACCAAGUCUGAACCCUCAAACAGACCUUUGUGUCCAAGUGAGGACCAUCCAAGAGAUCCGUACAAAGCUCAAAAGCUUUGGCUAGAAGAUGACUGUUCAAGUAUACAAACACACACACACACAUAAACUGUCUUGUGUUUGUAUUUAUUGUAUUUGCUGUAACAGACAAGAGAGAAGCAGAAGAAGAGGACGGAGACUGAAAGGGAGAAAAAGAAACGCACAUCCUUCCUCCCAGCUUAUUGACUUUAGAAAUACUAGAAGAGCUUUGAAAUGUCCUCUCUCUGGUCUUUGCUCCUUGUCUUUCGCUGCUGUCGUGUGCUCGCUUCCCUUCACAGUAGUUCACUAUUAGUCUGCAGCCUCAUGGUCAACGCUCGUCUGGACGUGAUGACGGAUGUUGUUUCUCUCUUUCAUCAUUCAUGAUCACACUGCACCCCAGCAAAUUAAUGAUACAACUAUUCCUCCCUCCCCCCUUCUUCUGACCUCCUUUCCUUCCCCCUCCCCCCGCUGCUCUCCGUCCCCCUCUGUCUCUCAUUCCGUUACGUCCCUCGCAGCCCCGCAGACGAGAUGGAGUCCUCGGACGACGAUACUCUGAGCGAGCGCUCCUGCGUCAGCGAGCCGUCCUUCCGUAGCGAGCGCUCGGCGGGGUCGCUGUCCCCGUGUCCGCCGGGUCCCGCGGGGCCCCCGGGAGACACGCUGCCGUGGAACCUGUCCAAACAUGAGCGCAGGAAGAGGAAGAGCCAGGACUCUGUACUGGACCCGGCAGAGAGGGCGGUGGUUCGCGUUGCAGGUAAGGGCAAGCCGCCAGAGCACUUCCCCGUGCCUUUGAGCAAGAGGCCGAGGCCCAAAGCUGUCGAGUGAGGCUGCGGUCAGGGUGUGCGGUGGAAAACUGACUAUGAACCCCUGACUCGAGCGCUUAUAUGGGCCGAAAAGUACAAAAAAUGACACUGCUCUUUCCACCAUUACACAUGUUGUAUUAAGUUUCCACUUCAUCCCCUUUGAAUCUCACAUCACAGCACAAGGCUGUAAAUAUCAGAAAGAUGGGAGGAGAAUCUGUUGGUGGUGUCUUAUUUUCAUACUGCUACUAUGACGACUGCCCCCUUCCCCUCUUCCUCGCCGUAGCAGAAGAUGGAGGAGAAAUGUAGGUUGCUCAGCUCUCUGGAGGAGCCAGGGUUCUCCUGCUCGUGUAACAACACUAGCAGCCUGAUUCUCCUCUGUCAGCGAUUAGGAAGCUCCCAGCUCAAUAAUGGAAGCAAAUGAUGUAAAAGUUGGAGUAGUUUUUAUCCACUCACUGCAUCUCCUGAUUGCGAUGAUUAUUUGCAGUUUGAGGCUUUUAUCAUAUAAAUGUGUGGUAGUGGAUGGAUGCCAGCAUUUAGCUAACACUCAGCAGCCUACGAUUGAUGGAGGAGUAUAAUAAACUCCAUCAUUAUAUUAUGUAAUUCAUCCGGAUUUCAUCCAAAGCGUCUCACGAUUAGAAUGGUCUCAACCAUGAGGGUAAAACUGCUGCGUUUAGACACACAGUUAAAUGCAUAUAUAUACUUUACAUUUGAAUUGAACCUAUUUGAAUUUCAUUUUGUUAUUAGUUUUAUGGUUUCAUGAUUUUAUAGUUUUACUAUAGAGAGCAGAGCAAACUAAAAAGGACCUGAAAAGCUCAAAAGCAACCAAAGGCAAUCACCCCAAAUAUCAUAUAAUUACCCAUAAAUUGAAGUCAGUCACUCACUGCUGCAGCUUCUAUCAUGAUUUCUUACUGAUAGUUACAACAGUCUAAUUUUAAAAAAAGGCAGCUGAAAUAAAGGAUCACUUCCAUGCGCUAUUUGUAAUGAUAAAAACACCCUCAAGUUAUUCUUCUUACACCAUCAACACGUGACGGCUCUUUGUUGUUUACACAUGAAAGACUAAUUACGAGCAGAUCUGAGAGCGCACUUGUGGAAUCAGUUAUCACACUGGUUUAAGAGGGUUGGCAUCUUCGCUUUUAUGUCCUGUGGUCUUCUUUCUUCAUCGCGUUGGUCCUUCUCAGCAGACCAGAUGAAGAAACAACAUAUACAAAUCGUCUCAUACUCAGGAUUUGUGAAUAUGAUACUGGGUGUCUUACUAAAAAUAGAUAUGAAAACUAGAUCUGAAGCUAAAAAUGAGAUGUGGGCCACUAAUCAUCCACCAACCCGCACUCCUGCCACCUCACUGUAGACUAAGCAUCCGGCAGUCUUGUAAACUGAUUUAUUUUAAGUCCUUUGCGUUAAGCAUGAACAUACAAAACAAAGUUGAAGUCUUUGAUUUUGCAAGUGACUUUUGGUGUUAUUUAUUUUGAUAUACUGGAUGUCCUGCAUCCGUAAAGGUUACCAGAUUCAAUCAUGAUGAACAUAUUGUUAGCUGUUGGCCUCAGAGCCCGGCUAAACGGAGACAGCGUUGCCAUUUUCCUUUUUGACAAGUUUGUCCAACCUGGCAACAGUAACAAAGGUUUGGUCAAUUAACAUCAAUACUAUCUUUUCUCCAUUUGCACAGAUUCCAACGUGUACAAACGAUCAGUUGUGGUCACACCAAAGGUUACAUGACGAGCGAGUCCCUGCUAGCUGCUUUUGGCUAAGCUAGCUGUUUGGCCUGGUCCCAGUCCUCAUGCUAAGCUAAGAAACCAGCUGCUGGCUCCAGCAUCGUAUUCACAAAGUGUGCUUUUAAAACGAGUGUGAGAAAUAUGCUCUUAGAUCGGCCCAGAAACACGAGGCUGCUAGAGUACAUGCAAAGUCCCUUUAGAAUGUAAAUUCACUGAAUGAAUGAAUGAAUGAAUGAAUGAAAGAAUCCUCUUCACCUGGUUUCGCACCAAACGAUCAAAGCACAUCAGCAGUCUUUCUGCAGCAGUGAUGCUUCCAUAUUUCUCUGUGAGCUGCCGUAGAGAUUCGACUGGUACCAGCCGGUAUCCCAGGCGUACCCACAGCUCGCCAAAGUCUAUUGUGAUGAAAUUGCAUUUUACAUAAUUCAGGCAGAGGCUGGAAUGUGGGGAAAACUAAUACAUUAGGCUGCUUAUUAAGCUGCACGGCUUAAAGUCCAGUUACAACAUUUACAGUGCCGCAGAAGUAAACAUGUGUCACAGGUAGUUUUGUUCUGCUUAUCUAUGAUUUCAUUCCAAAAAGUACUAAAGUAAGUGUACGAGGAAGGAUAAGUUGCUUUUCUACCAGGCAGAACGAGGAGCUUUGUGAACAGAUAAGUUCACUGGAGAGGAUAAAGGCCGACGCUGCAGUCCUGACUGUUGUUUAUUCUCUCUGGACCGGCGCGGCCUGCCUGCUGAGCAUGAAUGUCAAUGAAACCUCCAACAGCUGCCGGCCUCACUGUUGAUGUACUGACUAGAAUCAACUGUUAACUAUUAAACCACCAUUACUGGUAAGGUAAAAAAAACACAAUUUACUAAUAUUUGAAAAGAAAUGUCACAAUGUCACAAAUCAACCAAGCUAGUUUGUUCUCUUCUGCAUUUAUUCACAAGACACUCCAGGACACGUGUUUGUGUCCCAGGAGCCAUGUAGCCUAAGAUAAUCAAGUACUUAUUUUGUUUCACUGCAACGGGAAUUUGAGAGAAAAUAGCUUUACCCUCAAAACGUGAUUGUGAAUGAAGUUGUGUUGCGUCAGAACGUUGGCUGGAUGCAGAUCCACAAAUGCAGGUUGUGCUCUGUUAAAAAGCCAAACGUAUGUUAUUACAUUGUGUAACACAAAUCCACUGACUUUUAUCUUGAUUAAAUUGAUUGUAUAGCCUAUGAGGUUAAGAACUUGAAGUUGGAAGUGUAGCAUAUGGAAGUUAAUGUGGUGUUUUGUAUUUAUUUGCAAAAUGAUUAAAUCGGUUGGUAUUUUUUUGUAAUUUUCACACACCUUUGCUAAACUGGUUUUUGUUUGUGGAUCAUGAAACACAUUUGUCACCAGUUUUGAGACUAAUUCCUCCACAUGAGAAAUAGAUGAGUCAUGAAGACGUCUGGUAAUUGUUUUAGACUCAAAUUAUUUUAUAUUUCUGUACGUCCAUAUUUCCGUUGGUUUCAUUUCAGCUUAAAGCAGUGGUAAAACGGAAAGAUUUAGCCCAAAGGUUAAGAUAUUAAAAAGGCUGAGAGGAUAUUAAACCAGAACUAAAGUCACAGGGACACAUGAGCGAGUGUGAGAACCGUCUCUGUCUGUGCAGCAGUGAUGAUUUAUCCACGUGAGCAUCAGGACCCCGGACGCCUGUGCCUGCAUGUAACUUAGCCGUCCACCGCCCGCCUGCUGCUACUGCUUCCACAUUCCCUUCCCGGCAGGCGCCUGAGAGGAAGCCUCAGCUUGAAUCCCAGCAUGUUCCCCCUGUUGCCUUGGCAACGUGGUCUCCUCUGUUCCCAUGGUUAUAAAAGGCAAGAAGAAGCAAUGGCGACUGGGGUUACGGAGACUGACACUGAAUAUAAAGGGAGGGCAAAACAAAUAGAGCGAGAGAGUCUCCGAAUUUUAAUUUGAAGGGGGAGAAAUGAGAAGGGAGUUUGUUAAAGAAAAGAGAGAGAGAGAAGAGUGAAUGAUUGUGCAAAAAAUGUAAUGAAUAGCGAAAAGGAAUGUAGUUGAAGAAAGAGAGGAGGGGGGGGGGGGGUAAUAGAGAGAUCGAGGGAGUGGAUUAAAAAGAGGGAAAGGUUAAAAGAAAUGAUGAUUUUUAACCGACGCCGAGGGGUAAAUGAGGUCAUCCACAAAAAGUCACUUAAGAAAGAUCAAGACUGGAAAAGAGAAAUGAGGGAUGUGAGGGCAUUCGAAUGAAAGGAAGGAGGAGGAAAAGAGAACAAGAGACCUUAAAUGAAAGGAGAAAGGAAAAAAGUGAGAACUUGAGGGGAAAUAAAGAAGAGCGAGAAGAAUACAAAUGGGGGAUGUUGUUCAAGUCAGUUAUGCAACACAGAGUAAAGCAUUUAAUGCUUUUAAUGCCUACAAACAAGUGAUAUGCCUUUGACGCACGCUGGUUUAUUGUUACACUGCCUUAAAGUUAAGGCACGAGAUGUGCUCUCAAUCCUAAGAUCUGCUCCUUUAAACACGCAGCUGUAAAGUGGCAACUUGUUGCAACUUGUUUUCACGUUAAAGCAACAUUAAUGAAAAUGUAAAACAAAAGUUAAUUUUAAAAAAUUAACUUAAAACAAAAGUUAAUUUAAAAAAAUUAACUUUUGUUUUACAUUUUACAAUUACAAUUGAUGUAGUUCUCAUACUGAAAAUACUGCUUUCUUAGGAAACACAUCUAUACUACUUAUUAGCUUGGCAGAAGUCACAUUAUCUGUAUUCUUGGAACAACAGGGAAUUUCCGACAUGCUUUAUUUGGGUUGUAACGCUGAGGUCAGUGGAGCUCUGCUGCUGAGGCGUUGGUCGUGCUGAUGUCUUCAGGACUGUUUGUUCUUUUAGCUCUCGAAGCUCAUUUACUGUGCAGCUGGACUCUGCAGGACUCCACCGACACACAAUCAGGUGCAGGCGUGUGUGGUCACAGACUGGAGGACACACACUGCAGAAAGAUAACAGCGUGAGUGACCGAACCAGGCGAGAGGUGACUGACACGCUCAGCAUUCUUUAUCUACAGUCACAGCACAUUUUCAUUAUUUUGUUAAGCAUUACACAUGUGGUGUGAUUGAAAAAGGAAAAGACAACUCAGGAAUGGAAGAACAUAAAGAAAAGGAGAAGUUAUUAGUCACUCACAAUUUGCUGUAACUUCCAUCUUCCACCACUAGACGGGGAUAUAAAGGCGCCCGUGUGCUCUGUGUGUUGAGCUACUCCGUUUCUCAUCAGUUAACUGCUGAAAGAUGAAAUCAGCUUCCACUGUAAUCCUGUUGGGUAUAAUAUGUUUUCUGACGUUCGGCAGAUAAAAUGGCACCGGGACCUAGAGACCAGGGUGGCAAUGACCUCUCCUCUUUGUUUGGAAUGUCAGUGUGUGUGUGUGUGUGUGUGUGUGUGUCAGUGUUGUAGAUGGACACAGAGUCCACCCUCUCCGGCCUGUUUUCUCUCUUUAUGAAUAUUUCAGAACCCCGUACGUGCGUUGUGAUUGGACAGUGUACACGUGUGUGUGUGUCAGACUGGGAUUCUUCUGAGGUGUCUGUACUUCCAGUGGGGUCCAGCUGAUGGGACUCCAGUAAAGAAGAGGAGACACAAAGAAUAAAAAACAGAGAGGAAAUGAAUACCUGCUUGUAGUUGUGACUUAAUUAAUCGUAAACACAUUAGACUGGAAGCAUCUUAGAUGUUUUUUUUUACGAUUAUAAAUAGAAACCACAUUUCCCAUAUUUCUUUCCCGUAGAAACAGAAGACUCUCUGAAAGAUUUUUAUUUUCGUUUAAAAGAAACUUUAUAGCCCUCAUAAAAAGUAGCUAUGGCAGAGCAAUAGAUUGUACAGUUAGUAAUUAUAUGCAGAUGCCACAUUUGCCCCGCUGAUCUCUGUUUGUACUAUAAGACCAGAAGCUGCGUGUGCUUGACUUCACUUUAAGUCAUCUCCAUGUGUCUGUAUGGGAUAAAUGGCAGAAUCUGUACAUAUCAGUGAGUCUGAUUUAUGACCUGAGGAUGAUCGCAUGGUGAGAUUACCCACUGACGGCUGUGUUUCACCCAGCAGCACGGCGCUCACAUGACUUUAAUUCAGUUUUAGCAAACUGAACCAUUGUCUAUCUGUGUUCCUGGAAUGGUUUUGGCUCUUCUUCUUUUGACCAGCUGUGGGUUUACUGGCCCGCUAACAAGGAUUGCUCUUGGAUUCAGAUUUUGCUUCCGUAGUUCUUUGUAAUAUUUAUACAGUUAGCUUUUAGAUGGCCUUGACCUCCAUUCAUUCAGCUCCACAACUAAAACUUCCUCACACAGAAACAAUGUUCCAAGUUUUGAAAGACCUCUGUUCAUAUUCUGACUAUAUAAGAAAUGCAUUGGUCUGCUGUUAAUUUGGCACUUUGCAUAUGAAGGUUAGUUGAACGGAUAUGGUUUAUUUGGUUAAUUUCUGCUAACCGUAGACUGUUGUUAACAUUGUUUUGGCCAAUCUACAUUGCAAAGUAAUUUCCCAAACAUUUUGGAAGCAAAUAGUUUACUUUUUAACCACACUGCAUUCAUUUGACAGCUUUAGUUAGUGUUGCAUUGCACAGUAUUCAUAUGAAAAAUAAAUAAAAACAAAUAAAUGCCAACAUUUUGUUGCAGUGCAAGCAGUAUCAUUUGAUUUUGAUAGUAGAAUUGUGCAAACUGUACUCAAGGAAAUGGAUCCAAACCAUGUGUUGUGUUUCUGCCCUGAUUUGUUUGCCUGCUUGUACGUUACCAGCUGUGUACUAAUGUUAUUGCCUGUAUUAUUGUCACAGCCGCCAAUAAUUAUAUAAAGAAAACGUAUUGGCAGGAGAUCCGCCAUAUUGGAUUCUCCGUCUCAUCAACGGUUCUCCGACAAAUAGCUCAUACAAUCAUUUAAAGUAUUUCUCUUUAAUUUAAAGUUUCAAUUCUUCGUCUGCAACAGAUGUCUAAUAACAGCCGACAGAAAGACCAAACACCGAGUCACCUUCUUACUUUUAACAGAGAAUUGAUUCAGGAGGCCAACGCGAACCGCCAUUCCCGCCGGUGUAACAUAACGGAAUUGACCCGCUCUUCAUAAUAUAACCAAUAAUACGACACGUGGUGGGUGUGAAUUGGUUUUAUACGAUGCAGUUAACCGUUAAUUGAAUGAUCAUUUCAAUCGGCCUGCCGACCGCCGAGCCGUGGUGACCAUCUGGGGGCGCUCCAGCUCCAUUUCCCCGGCAGCCUGUAAGCUAGCUGCCGCUACUUCACCGCCGGCUCCGGGGAUUCCUGUGGCGGAGGUUCCUGGCGCGGCCGACAGAGAGAGAUGGAAGACCGCCACUGCGGGGGAAAAGCCCGAGGAACCUGAGCAGACGCGAGACCGGGAGGGAGGGAGACGGAGGGAGAAACGAAGACGCGCACAUUCGCACCGAGGCGGAGACCGCAAAGCCUGGGAUAGAAGCGGCCAUUACGGCGGGGAAGCACGCUGGAGCUCAGGCGGCUCGCCUCGGAUCCGCAGGACGCCGACACAGCCCGGGAUAGCGAGCCAGGGGAGCUCCGCUCAUUUUGGGGACGGAAACGGACACACUGCCCCCCCCCCUCUCCUCUAGGGACUCUCAGCUGGGGUGUGAGGGAUUUACUCCUUCACACACACACAGGAGGAGCACAGCGCAGCAGUCACCGGGUGGACGCCGAUAUUAAAGGAGGGACUGGUCCGAGAAGCCCCGCCGGGUGAUGCCGCUGUGUGUCCCGCACGCCGCGGCAAUGGAUAGAGCCUUUAUGUAACCUUCAUCCAAACACAUUCCCCCGUCGCCAGACUCCUGGCUUUUGUUGUCCUUUUGUAUUGUCUUAAGUCCCCCCCCCCCGCAAGGAUUAUCUAAGCUCGGAAGUGAGGUACGAGGCUCUUUCUGUGCGUCAAUGCAUCGGAUUCGUUAGUCCCUCGCAAGGUGGUGUUGUGUGGGACGCAGAGCGGAAGGAGCCGGAGUCACUGCGGUAGUCUGCAGGCCGACCCCCCCCUCCACUCCACUGCCUGCCCGGCUCGCACAUCCACCAUGGCCGGGUUCACACCGGGGCUACUGCCGACGAACCGGUCCCAGGAGAAGGAGUUCGCCCAGGCGUACGAGGACGUGUUGGAGCGAUAUAAAGGUAAAGGUGACACUUAAAAAAAAAAAAAACAUGUGCCUCAUCUUCGUAAAAAUGCAUCCAGAUUAAAAUGUUACAGCCAAUAUAAUGGUUUCACCGCUAAGCCCCAAAUAAACAACUAAUUUAAGUCCACGCUUAACUUAAACUGUGUUCAUAAUGUCGCUCUGGGAACAUUACAGGAAUGCUGAGAGAAUAUGAAAAUACUUUGGCUAAAAAGCCUUGAGGCGUGUGUCUGGAAGUUGAUCUUCUGGCCGAAGCUCGUCUGCCGCUUUCAUGACCUGGAUGGUUUCUCUGUUUGCAUAAACCGAACAGAACAGGGCUCCGAUCUGCAUCUCCCGCUGAUGUCUCCUCCACCCAACGCUUGUUUUGCCCUGUGUCCGCUGUUUGCCCUGUAAACAGGACGCUGACGUGUGUGUGUGUGUGUGUGUGUGUGUGUGUGUGUGUGUGUGUGUGAGAGAGAUAAUGGGGCCUCAGGCAGCCUCUCUGAUGUGAUGCUGCUUUAAAUGAUUUAUCAUUAUAAUAAAGUCCUCCUUGAGGAUCGUUUGUGUUAUCGGCAAAGGUUCACAUGAUCUGCAGUUCUUCAGUCCCGACAAUAAAGUAUCCGUAAGACACGUGUAGGACCACAGAAGAAGAAGCAGCUUUCCGUGACAGCUUGUUAUAUCUUUGUUAUGGGGACACGCUGCUGCUUUUUGGCCCUAAAAUGAGGCUUCUGUUGAAGGGAAGUGAAAAAACUUGGCAAGAUCUGGAACACAUCUGGGCCAAACUAUGCAGACUUCUUAUCUGUAUGUCCAGCGUAACGCAUCUCUCGAGGGUCUUUGGCUCAAAUAGUUUUUUCCUGCAGCAGGUGUGUUGCAUGGCAGGGCAUAAAUGUUAACGUAUCAGCUGUUAAACAGACCAGGUUUGUUUAAUGGCACACAGCGAGAUGCAUUUGAUGUUUCUAAUGAUUAAGUGGUAAAUGGGUCAGGGUUCCUCUGCAGGUAGUAGGACUUUUGGUCUUUUUUUGGCCUUUUGGACCCCUCAACACAGAACUGAUCUUAGGUCAGUGAUCGGAGUCCAGCGUUGUUGACAUUACAAUCAGUACUGGAGUUUGUAGGUCUGUAGAUGUGUGGGUUUACUGCAGUCGGGAGGAGACCGUGAGCGACCCGACCCAGUAAACCAACCCUAAGCCCUGUCUGUUCCAGUAGGACGUCCUACGGUGAGGCUGCAGGUUUUCACCCCUCACGUCUCCUGCCCUUCGUCGGUGCUAUAAUGAGGCUGUGACCCUGCAGGACCCGCUCUGUGUCCUCUGGAGGGCUUCCAGUACAACAGGACCCGUGUUGCACUGCGUAUCUGUCCAACACUCUUUUUGCACCUCUUCCCCCCGCCCCCCUGCCCCCCCCCCCUCCCCCUGGUAGUCUUGGAUUGCGCCAAAGCGUGUGGCUUUUUACCACUGUGCUGUUACUCGGGAUGUGUGCGAGCCACUUGAGGCAGUUGCGAGGAAGAAAAGAGGCGUAAAUGUGAACUUGGCGUCCGGCUGUAGCUGCUGGGCUUGUGACUGAAACUGGAGCGCUGGACACUGGAUACGGCUUGAAUAAUUCACAGGGGGGGGGGGGCAGGCUGUUGGUGCUCGUGUGUAGCUGCCGUGCAACAAUGACAGGAUAUCUAAAGUAACAUGGUCAUGGGCGGAAAGCCCCGGGACCUGAGUCAGUGGAAAACCAGAUGGUUCAGAGCAACGUCCUAUUUACUCCUGGAGGUCUGUCAUUAUUCUUUGCAGCCAACGUGGUGUGGAUUUCUGUUUUAAGUUGUAUUCUUAGCAGUCCUAAUCGGAUGAGUGUAUUAACAUUUACAUAAGCUUAAGUGCAGCAAAUAUGACGGGUACACAACGGUCCAUAAAAGUCCCCCGUGAGCCAGAUAUAUAUAUAUAUAUAUAUAUAUAUAUAUAUAUAAGAGGGAAGUGAACAAUCAGGCCUUUUUUUUAAAGGAACAAGAUGGUCAGGAAGCCCUUUCCAAACUUAGACACGAUUGUGUGUGCGUGUGCGUG
ensembl:lncRNA